rnacentral:rRNA from 1 species
AACACGUGAGCAACCUGCCCCUGACUCGGGGAUGAGCGCGGGGAACGGUGUCUAAUACUGGAUAUGUGGCGGGACCGCGUGGUCUGCGUGUGGAAGGAAUUUGGGUGGGGGAUGGGCUCGCGGCGUAUCGGCUUGUUGGUGAGGUGAUGGCUCACCAAGGCGUGGACGGGUAGCCGGCCUGAGAGGGUGACCGGCCACACUGGGACUGAGACACGGCCCAGACUCCUACGGGAGGCAGCAGUGGGGAAUAUUGCACAAUGGGCGCAAGCCUGAUGCAGCAACGCCGCGUGAGGGACGACGGCCUUCGGGUUGUAAACCUCUUUUAGCAGGGAAGAAGCGAAAGUGACGGUACCUGCAGAAAAAGCGCCGGCUAACUACGUGCCAGCAGCCGCGGUAAUACGUAGGGCGCAAGCGUUAUCCGGAAUUAUUGGGCGUAAAGAGCUCGUAGGCGGUUUGUCGCGUCUGCUGUGAAAUCCGGAGGCUCAACCUCCGGCCUGCAGUGGGUACGGGCAGACUAGAGUGCGGUAGGGGAGAUUGGAAUUCCUGGUGUAGCGGUGGAAUGCGCAGAUAUCAGGAGGAACACCGAUGGCGAAGGCAGAUCUCUGGGCCGUAACUGACGCUGAGGAGCGAAAGGGUGGGGAGCAAACAGGCUUAGAUACCCUGGUAGUCCACCCCGUAAACGUUGGGAACUAGUUGUGGGGUCCAUUCCACGGAUUCCGUGACGCAGCUAACGCAUUAAGUUCCCCSCCUGGGGAGUACGGCCGCAAGGCUAAAACUCAAAGGAAUUGACGGGGACCCGCACAAGCGGCGGAGCAUGCGGAUUAAUUCGAUGCAACGCGAAGAACCUUACCAAGGCUUGACAUAUACGAGAACGGGCCAGAAAUGGUCAACUCUUURGACACCUCGUAAACAGGUGGUGCAUGGUUGUCGUCAGCUCGUGUCGUGAGAUGUUGGGUUAAGUCCCGCAACGAGCGCAACCCUCGUUCUAUGUUGCCAGCACGUAAUGGUGGGAACUCAUGGGAUACUGCCGGGGUCAACUCGGAGGAAGGUGGGGAUGACGUCAAAUCAUCAUGCCCCUUAUGUCUUGGGCUUCACGCAUGCCUCCAAUGGCCGGUACAAAGGGCUGCAAUACCGCGAGGUGGAGCGAAUCCCAAAAAGCCGGUCCCAGUUCGGAUUGAGGUCUGCAACUCGACCUCAUGAAGUCGGAGUCGCUAGUAAUCGCAGAUCAGCAAGGGUGCGGUGAAUACGUUCCCGGGUCUUGU